rnacentral:lncRNA from 1 species
UGGCGUUCAAUUCGUCUUUUCAAUGGAAACAUAACAGCAUUUUAUUGCUCAGGAGAUGAGGGUUAUGGGAGAUACAUGGAGAUAGCACUCAAGCAACGAUACUCAUCCUAGGGCCACCAUAGCCGCAGGCUUCACUUCCGUUUAAUUUGCAUUUUUUCAAUCUCUACAUCCCAUCUUACUCUAUGUAUCUAUUUUUAACCUAAUCAAUCUAUGUUCUUUUUCUAUUUGUAUGGGUUCAAGGACAAUUGUGCUAACUCAGGGUGUUCAGAUCUAGGGUUCUGACAAAAUGGAGAUGGUUACGGGUUCCGGUGGCGAGUGUUAGACAACUAUCAGAGGAAGAUCGACCUUCCAACCAUGCUACGGCAAAGAUUCCGGCAACUACGAUGAAUGUUUGUGGCUUACCCGAUUGUGACGUGUUAUUGGUUCGGUUUGUUGCCGACCCGAAUCUUUAUGUCCAGUUGGAGUUCGUAGCUAGGGGCGUCUUCUCAGCAACCGUGGUUCAUGACUAAUACGCUGUUAUUGUUGUGCCUGAUUAUAUUCUUCCAUACGCUAAGGCUUCUUCUGUAAGCCUUUCAUAAAUUAUAAUCAGUUGAGAGAUGACGAGAUGAGCAGAAGGCAUAGCAUCGCGGCGUCCUCUGUGAGAGAUGACGAGAGUAUGGACAGUUCGCCGUCGGUUCCGAGUUUCCUAUUUUACCGCACUAUUGUGUGCAUAGUCAUUGCUAGAAUGGCUUUAUAGUAUGUAUUUUAGCAUCUGUGUUAAACUUAAAAACGAAAGUCGAGGUGGCGGUUGUGUAGGAAGUCGUGGCGGUGGUCGAGGUUGAAGUCGAGGCGGAGGUGGAGGCGGUGGAGAAGGCGGAGCUUUGUCGACUCUACUGCAACACUCACGAGGUUCUUGAAAAUCAUAAAAAUGGGAAAAAACAUGAAUAGAAUAUGGAAAUACAGGAAGAAUUACAGCGGCUUGCGGGAAAAACACAAAUGUCGGUUCCCAUGGAUAGCCGGAAGUCAAAGUCGAAAGUCAAAUGAUGCAGGCUGAAGAACAAGGGAACAGUUUAAAGAGAAAAAUGAGAGAGGGAAUACUAACCAAUUAUUGUUGCAAUGUUCUUGACAUCAGUCGUAAGGAAUCGAGAUGGUGAAGUCACGUUAUACCCUUUUCAGAACCAAACAUUUCUCCUUUAAGUGGGAACCCUCAUUUGUUUAGAGUUCAUACGUUCGGGCUGCAGUGGACCUGGCUUUUAUAUAUGGGGAGAUGCGGAUCUUUUUAGCUACAGGAGAGGUUUAUUGACACGUCUUAGUGGAAAGGUGAAAAAAAUGAAGUUCAGUAUCAAUUUCAGUGAGCCAACCUUAGGUUAAAAUGCUUAAUAUGUGCUCUGAAGAGAGUCCCUUGUUAUGGAUGCUUAGUGAGUUGGUGAAGCUAGCAAACCACAAGAGUUCAGUGGCCAAUCUUAUUUUUGCAUGUUUGCAUUGCUGAAUAUUUCCAUCGCUUAUUCAACCAUAUUUUUUCUCACGGUAUAUUGUUUUGUAUUAUUAAAGUAUAUUGUUUGAAAAUGGAAUUGGAUUAUAAUAUCUUGGACAAACCUUAUUAGUUUAGAAAGGUCCCGUUCUCUUUUAAGAUACAAAUAUAUCUACGCAUUUGACUGGU